GACGAACGCUGGCGGCGUGCUUAACACAUGCAAGUCGAACGGUGAAGCGCCUUCCUUUUUGGUGGGUGUGGAUGAGUGGCGAACGGGUGAGUAACACGUGAGUAACCUGCCCCCUUCUUCUGGAUAACCGCAUGAAAGUGUGGCUAAUACGGGAUAUUCUGGGUCUGUCGCAUGAUGGGUCUGGGAAAGAUAUUGUUUCGGUGGGGGAUGGGCUCGCGGCCUAUCAGCUUGUUGGUGGGGUGAUGGCCUACCAAGGCGGUGACGGGUAGCCGGCCUGAGAGGGUGGACGGUCACACUGGGACGGAGACACGGCCCAGACUCCUACGGGAGGCAGCAGUGGGGAAUAUUGCACAAUGGGCGCUAGCCUGAUGCAGCGACGCCGCGUGAGGGAUGGAGGCCUUCGGGUUGUGAACCUCUUUCGCCAGUGAAGCAGGCCUGCCUCGUUUGUGGGUGGGUUGACGGUAGCUGGAUAAGAAGCGCCGGCUAACUACGUG
rnacentral:rRNA from 1 species